rnacentral:sRNA from 1 species
AGAAGAGGCGAGAACGACCCCCGGACCGACCAAAGCCCGCGCGCCGCUGCAUCCCGCGUCCAGCACCUACGUCCCGCUGCCGUCGCCGCCGCCACCAUGCCCAAGAGAAAGGCUGAAGGGGAUGCUAAGGGAGAUAAAGCAAAGGUGAAGGACGAACCACAGAGAAGAUCCGCGAGGUUGUCUGCUGUAAGUGUAUGCUUUUGAAUUUUCGUGCUUGUCUCUGAAACUAAAAAACAUCAAAAAACAAUUCCCUUUGCUUCCAUGAAUUAUGAAACCUGCUCCUCCAAAGCCAGAGCCCAAGCCUAAAAAGGCCCCUGCAAAGAAGGGAGAGAAGGUACCCAAAGGGAAAAAGGGAAAAGCUGAUGCUGGCAAGGAGGGGAAUAACCCUGCAGAAAAUGGAGAUGCCAAAACAGACCAGGCACAGAAAGCUGAAGGUGCUGGAGAUGCCAAGUGAAGUGUGUGCAUUUUUGAUAACUGUGUACUUCUGGUGACUGUACAGUUUGAAAUACUAUUUUUUAUCAAGUUUUAUAAAAAUGCAGAAUUUUGUUUUACUUUUUUUUUUUUUUUUAAAGCUAUGUUGUUAGCACACAGAACACUUCAUUGUUGUUUUUGGGGGAAGGGGCAUAUGUCACUAAUAGAAUGUCUCCAAAGCUGGAUUGAUGUGGAGAAAACACCUUUCCCUUCUAGUUUUGAGAGACUUCCUCUUGGCUCCCAGGAGGAGUGAUUCCCUGACUUUGACACACAUGGCCACCUUGGCACAAAAGCCUUGUGGUAUAGAAAAACAAAUUUGUUUUUAUGUCCUCUUCUCCCUUUCCAUCUUUCAGCAUACACUUAACUCCCUUAAGCCCAGACAUCUGUUGGGACCUGACCCCUAGUCAUUGGUUACCAGUGUGUCAGGCAAUCUGGACUUUCCAGUGAUGCCACUGAGAUGG